GAGACCCUUCAGGACAGGGGCUUGCCUCCCCUCUGAAGAGAGGGGGAGGGAGGAGGACUAACAGUCUGAGACAUGGGCCAAUGCCCAGGGAGGUCUGAUCCUCUAGAGACGUUCUAGAACCCCAUUCUAUUUUUCUACGGUUGAAAAAACUAUAUAUUUUUUUCAAAUAUACAAAUAUAAAUAUAUGUGUAUAUAUCCUUCCUCAAUUCUUAGGGGGCACCCAGGCCCCCUGGACUAUCCAAGGGUCUGGUCAGCAGCUGGUCAGUAGUACAACCACCAAACGAGGAAGUGAGGUUGCCGGAUAAAAUAGAGAACCCCGAGUUGAAUCUGAACUUCAGAUAAACAACAAAUAUUUUUUUAGUAUAACGACGAGCCGCAGCCUGCCACACUUUUGCUUGCUCAGUCGGGCACCCCUACCACCGGCCGGGUGACUGCGUGUCGUUCCAGGCCAGGAAGCCUUAUCCGGGUUGUGUGAUGACGGCGGCCGGGCAGGAGCCACAAGCGCCCCCACUCCUCCGGGCUGGGGGUCGGCGCCGCGCUCCGCUUGGAAACGCGCCCGAUCGCACCGGGGCGUCGCGGCACCGCCAGCUCAGCACUGGGCCGGGCACGAGGCGGGGACCCCCAGAAACAUACCGAAACCGUCUCCAUGGCUGCCUCUGAAAUAAAGCGGUGUGUGUGGGAAGAGAAACUCGAGGGGGAAGUUCAGCAACCAACGCAGAGACUGAUUUUUUUGUUGAAGCCUCACGUUUCUGUUCCUUUUGGUGAUGGUGGUGACAGAGGUGCACGAUGGAUACAAUUUUUGUAACACAGAAGUUACCUCUAAACCCAUUAACCAGCCACGAACAGCGAGUCAGGGAACGGAGUGGAGCAUCUCCGGUCCAUUUUAUUUUCUGGACUUCUGUCGGUGGUGCAAACUGAACUGCAGGCUUGUAACCAAACUUCGCAAAGGGUCUCCUUCGGCUCCUCAACCACAGAGACGCCAGGCUGCGUGGCCACUGGCCACACCUUUCCUCGGGGCGUGCCAGCCAAGGCAAGUGGCUGUUGGAUGGCGUGCGUGGUCCCGUGUCCGCGUCCAACUCUUUCUAUGUUGUUGACUAGGGGUAACCGCAGCAGUGUUGUGGCCGUGGCCCCGCCGACGCGCAGAGGAGAAUCCACGAGAAGUCUUCGAAUUGCUAGCAAGUGGCCCUGAGGCCCAUACAUGGCUACGUGUCAGCUGAGCUGAGACAAACGAGGUGACAGAAACACAAGGGAAGGAAGGAAGCACGGUUAUGCAGCUGCCCACUCCCCUCUGCCCAGACUGGUCCUCGGCGAGCCGCCACCCUGGACUGAUGAGAAUAUGCCAGUGAUAAACCACAACUGUGGGAAACACGGGGUGGGGGCAUAAAUAUCAUCUGUAAACAAUUAGGCAGCCACUGCUCAUUCAGUGCCGUUUUGAGAAGCUAAGGAAGUCUGCAAUCAGUUAUAUCUCCAAUUACCAUAAAAAUAUAUUAGCCAUUCAUUCAUUUAUUAAUGAUUCAUCAGUUAACCACACAUAAUGAGCAAAUAAUUAGCAGUGCUGUACGGUUGCCAAAAUUGAAGAAGUGUUGGCAUUUUAAAGAUGAAAGGUUGCAUUUAUGCAAAAGUCUGGCGAUGAUAAAGUUAAUAUGGAAGAUAAUUAUAAAAGUGGCUGUCCUAUAUUACAGACUGAGGUACCACAAAACUUGCCUAAUUGAACCGAAAUGAAUAUUCUUCCAAAGUCUGCGUAUUGCCACACACAAACUGCUGAAUUUCUCCCGAAGAUCUCCCUUCAGUAAGGUGCACUGCACAAUACAAGUUAAUAAAAUGCCAGACAGCUAGACUGUGUUCUUUGUUUGCUUGGUUCAGGGCCUCGUGGAAAACAAUAAAUUGCAUUCAUGUCAGCUGAGGCCCAUCCCUUUGCUAAUUACCGUUUGGUGCUGAAAUGACUUCUGUGAAAUUGGGAGCAUGAGGAAACAUACAGCCAUACAAGGGAGGCUUUUCAGAGUUUUGCAGUAAAUGUGAGAUAGGCCUCAGGCACACAGAUGUUAAAACAGUGAAUUCCCCCACAGAUUACACUAAUGGAAACCCUGUCAGGGUGCAGUGCUGGGCCCUAGGACUUCAGAGAGGAAACGUCAGGGUUCCUGCUCUUGGGAGACUCUCAUUUCUGCUUGGGAAGCAGGCGCUCAAACUUCACGAAGCCAGAUUUCUGCAUCAUUACAAUGCCUGGCAUGCAGGAGGCCAAUAAAUGUUUGUUGAAUGAAUGGAUCUGUUAAAA